rnacentral:rRNA from 1 species
GAUCCUGGCUCAGGAUGAACGCUGACAGAAUGCUUAACACAUGCAAGUCUUUGGCAAAGCUGUGCUUGCACAGUCUAGCCAAGGCGGACGGGUGAGUAACGCGUAAGGAACUUGCCCUGCAGUCAGGGAUAACAGACGGAAGCGACUGAUAAAACCUGAUAAAGUCAGACGGACUCAUGUCCAGUCUGAUGAAAAGAAAUGCUGCAGGAGAGCCUUGCG